rnacentral:rRNA from 1 species
UAGUCUAAGCGUUUAGGGAGUUACGGUAGGCAAAUCCGCUGUAACAAUUCUGAGGCGUGAUGGGGAAGGCCAUAUAGGCCGAAGUACAUGAUUCCAUGCUUCCAAGAAAAGCAUCUAGAGAGAGAAGUAGUGCCCGUACCGCAAACCGACACAGGUAGAUGAGGAGAGAAUCCUAAGGCCGGCGGAAGAAUUGCAGUUAAGGAACUAGGCAAAUUGACCCCGUAAGUUCGCGAGAAGGGGUGCCUGCGAGAGCAGGCCGCAGAGAAUAGGCCCAAGCAACUGUUUAGCAAAAACACAGGUCUCUGCUAAAGCGUAAGCUGAUGUAUAGGGGCUGACGCCUGCCCGGUGCUGGAAGGUUAAGGGGAACACUUAGCGCAAGCGAAGGUGUGAACUUAAGCCCCAGUAAAUGGCGGCCGUAACAAUAACGGUCCUAAGGUAGCGAAAUUCCUUGUCAGGUAAGUUCUGACCCGCACGAAUGGCGUAAUGACUUGGGCACUGUCUCAACUGCAAAUCCGGCGAAGUUGUAGUGCGAGUGAAGAUGCUCGCUACCCGCGAUUGGACGGAAAGACCCCGUAGAGCUUUACUGUAGCUUAGCAUUGAAUUCCGGUAUUGUCUGUACAGGAUAGGUGGGAGACUGGGAAACUAGGGCGUCAGCCUUAGUGGAGUCAACCUUGGGAUACCACCCUGACAGUACUGGGGUUCUAACAGGACGCCAUGAAUCUGGUGACUGGACAUUGUUAGGUGGGCAGUUUGACUGGGGCGGUCGCCUCCUAAAAAGUAACGGAGGCGCCCAAAGGUUCCCUCAGAACGGUCGGAAAUCGUUCGUAGAGUGCAAAGGCAGAAGGGAGCCUGACUGCGAGACAUACAAGUCGAGCAGGGACGAAAGUCGGGCUUAGUGAUCCGGUGGUACCUCGUGGGAGGGCCAUCGCUCAACGGAUAAAAGCUACCUCGGGGAUAACAGGCUGAUCUCCCCCAAGAGUCCACAUCGACGGGGAGGUUUGGCACCUCGAUGUCGGCUCGUCGCAUCCUGGGGCUGUAGUAGGUCCCAAGGGUUGGGCUGUUCGCCCAUUAAAGCGGCACGCGAGCUGGGUUCAGAACGUCGUGAGACAGUUCGGUCCCUAUCCGUCGCGGGCGUAGGAAAUUUGAGAGGAGCUGUCCUUAGUACGAGAGGACCGGGAUGGACUGACCUCUGGUGCACCAGUUGUUCCGCCAGGAGCAUGGCUGGGUAGCUAAGUCGGGAAGGGAUAAACGCUGAAAGCAUCUAAGCGUGAAGCCUCCCUCAAGAUGAGAUUUCCCAUAGCACAAGCUAGUAAGACCCCUUGAAGAACACAAGGUUGAUAGGUCAGAGGUGUAAGUGCGGUAACGUAUUUAGCUGACUGAUACUAAUAGGUCGAGGGCUUGACC